rnacentral:rRNA from 1 species
GGCCGCGUCCGCUCGGGUCGCGGGUUUGGGCUUGUCGUUAUAUAGGGAAAGCAGAGCGCGUGGGGGUGGAGGGGAGGGCUAGUGGGGCACGCAGCGGCACGAAGAAGGGGCAGGUGAGCGGCGCAGCGGCAGGCGGAGGAGGAGGAGUGGGUGAGCAGCGGCGCCGGCGGCAGGCGGCCGCAGCGCAGGGACGUCCGUCUGGCCUCUUCCGUCCCCCCAGGCGACGCUACCGCGCGCACAUGCAGCCCUCGGACCUGGGACGACACUGCCGGGCCCUCGAGCUCCUGCUCAAGGCGCACAAGCCCCAAGAGGCCUCACAUACCCAACGUUCCUUCGGUGGACCAAAACGUAAACAACUAAAACUACUGUCCUCCCUACGAGUCCUACGUUAAUUUCUAAAUCUACCGUUCUUACCAACCUCUCAACUCAACAGAGCAUUACGGUCGUCACCGGCACCACCAGCACUAGCUAGACCACCUAGACUCUACUUCACAAUACUCACACCACUCAGACCAGUGAAACGGGCACUUACGGCAGACUCCUAACCAAGACCCCCGGAUCCGUCACCUUCCGCAGCGUCGUCCUCAGCUUCGGCAUCGGCGUCAGCCUCGGGAUCUAUGGCGUCCUCAGGUUCGAUAUCGUCUUCUUCGAUGUCGGCGAGAGGUUCCGCAGCAUCACACAGUGGCCGAGCACCCGCGUCACACUCGUCCAGUGGUCAGGCACCUGCACUACUUAGAGGGCGGAUACCGUUACCCAUAGCGGCGUCGUCCUCGAUCUCGACAUACAAGACAGACCUCUCACAAGACAACGUUUAUAACGAGAUAUGGGCAGUCGAUACUUGUCACAGGACAGGGGGUAAACUUUGUAGGCGGUAGCUGACGAACUCAAACCAAUUCAAGGGGUAUUGAAAAUGGCGGGAUAAUACCAACACAAACUAAAAUAGAGAUCUAUUUGAAUACCUAACCCACAUAGUAAUUGAUUCUGGUCGACAGAAAAGAAAACACACAAUUUUUCCGUAGCAGGACGUGACGAAUUUUCGCAGCCGGCAGAAGCCGAAACUCAAUACAGAUGUACCAAAACGAGAAGUGAGAAGCAAGUAGGGAGCGGGAGCGGACGAGGUACGUUUGACGCAUAAUCAAGGACGUCCGCUGGGGAGACGCAGCGCACAUGAAGCUACUUCUACGACGAGCAGUUUUUCGUCAUUGCUGUAAAGAAGAAAACGUUUAACCUACUCAGAGGUCUUCGACGUAGACGAACGAAGAGACCCUGACUGCCGUUCCAUAAAUCAACUUACCGGACGUGGGAAUGGAGGCACGGGGUACGGUCCACUACUCCAGUAGACUCCCCGUUAAUAUCGACCCAUUCAUAACGUCCUCCACAUUCGGACAGAUCUGACGCCACGACUCAAGCCGUCAACCGCAGCAAGAAGUACGAGAAGCAAGAGUUGAAUAGGGACUGUACGACGGACGACUAGAAGGGGUGUAAGACGAAAGAAGUGACGCGGAUGCUAACUCGAGGAACCAUCGAAUAUCGAAGGUCAGUGUAAGGAGACGACAACCUACGUUGUAUAACCAGUUAUCCAAAUAAGAUUAUUAAACCAACUCGGACGUAAACACUUGGACUUAAAAGUCUAGGAUCUAACAAGACUGUAACUUCACAGUUCUGUACAAUAAACUGGAACUAGACGAAAGAAAAAAGUUAAACACGCUUACAAGGGAACCGAUAUAACCAGCCAUACGAAACCACCGGAGGAACGUCGUACUUUAUUCAGGG